UUUCUUUCCAAACUGCAAAAUUCUCCUCCCCUUCCUCCAGCUCACCACCCUUCCUCCUAGUUCCGAUUUCGGACCGGAACCGGAAGUGGGGUGGGCGGAGCCCGACAGCGGAAAACCCUGCGGAGCCGGAGCCGGAGCCGGGACACUGCUGUGGCUGCUGUCCCGUCCGUCGCCACGGAUCGUCGAGUGACAGGACUGCACGACUCCAGGCUGAAAGUCGGCCCGGAGGCGGGUGAGCGCUGGUCUCACCCGAGUUGUCUGGGCGGCACUGUCCCCGGGACCCCCGGGUGCCGCGAGGGAUCAUGUCUACAGCCUCCGCGGCUUCCUCCUCCUCCUCGACUUCGGCCAGUGAGAUGAUCGAAGCCCCUUCCCAGGUCCUUAACUUUGAAGAGAUCGAUUACAAGGAGAUCGAGGUGGAAGAGGUUGUUGGAAGAGGAGCUUUUGGAGUAGUUUGCAAAGCAAAGUGGAGAGCAAAAGAUGUGGCUAUUAAGCAAAUAGAAAGUGAAUCUGAGAGGAAAGCUUUUAUUGUAGAGCUUCGCCAAUUGUCCCGUGUGAACCAUCCUAAUAUUGUAAAGUUGUAUGGAGCCUGCUUGAAUCCAGUAUGUCUUGUGAUGGAAUAUGCUGAAGGGGGCUCUUUAUAUAAUGUGCUGCAUGGUGCCGAACCAUUGCCGUAUUACACUGCUGCCCAUGCAAUGAGUUGGUGUUUACAGUGUUCCCAAGGAGUGGCUUACCUACACAGCAUGCAACCCAAAGCUCUAAUUCACAGGGACCUGAAACCACCGAAUUUGCUGCUCGUUGCAGGAGGGACAGUUCUAAAAAUCUGUGAUUUUGGUACAGCCUGUGACAUUCAGACACAUAUGACCAAUAACAAGGGGAGUGCUGCUUGGAUGGCACCUGAAGUUUUUGAAGGUAGCAAUUACAGUGAAAAAUGUGAUGUCUUCAGCUGGGGUAUUAUCCUUUGGGAAGUGAUAACGCGUCGGAAACCUUUUGAUGAGAUUGGCGGCCCAGCUUUCCGAAUCAUGUGGGCUGUUCAUAAUGGUACUCGACCUCCAUUGAUCAAAAAUUUACCUAAGCCCAUUGAGAGCCUGAUGACUCGUUGUUGGUCGAAAGAUCCUUCUCAGCGCCCUUCAAUGGAAGAAAUUGUGAAAAUAAUGACUCAUUUGAUGCGGUACUUUCCAGGAGCAGAUGAGCCAUUACAGUAUCCUUGUCAGUAUUCAGAUGAGGGGCAGAGCAACUCUGCCACCAGUACAGGCUCAUUCAUGGACAUCGCCUCUACAAAUACCAGUAAUAAAAGUGACACUAACACGGAGCAAGUUUCUGCUACGAAUGAUACUAUUAAACGCUUAGAAUCAAAAUUGUUGAAAAAUCAGCCAAAGCAACAGAGUGAAUCUGGCCGGUUAAGCUUGGGAGCGUCCCGUGGCAGCAGCGUGGAGAGCUUACCUCCAGCUUCUGAGGGCAAGAGGAUGAGUGCUGAUAUGUCUGAGAUAGAAGCCCGGAUCACGGCGACCACAGCCUAUUCCAAGCCUAAACGGGGCCACCGUAAAACCGCUUCAUUUGGCAACAUUCUGGAUGUCCCUGAGAUCGUCAUACCAGGCAAUGGGCAACCAAGACGUAGAUCCAUCCAAGACUUGACUGUUACUGGAACAGAACCUGGUCAGGUGAGCAGUAGGUCAUCCAGUCCUAGUGUCAGAAUGAUCACUACCUCAGGACCAACCUCAGAAAAACCAGCUCGAAGUCAUCCAUGGACUCCUGAUGAUUUCACAGAUACUAAUGGAUCAGAUAACUCGAUCCCAAUGGCCUAUCUUACACUGGAUCACCAACUACAGCCUCUAGCACCAUGUCCAAACUCCAAAGAGUCUAUGGCAGUAUUUGAACAGCAUUGUAAAAUGGCACAAGAAUAUAUGAAAGUUCAAACAGAAAUUGCAUUGUUAUUACAGAGAAAGCAAGAACUAGUUGCAGAAUUGGACCAGGAUGAAAAGGACCAGCAAAAUACAUCUCGACUGGUACAGGAACAUAAAAAGCUUUUAGAUGAAAACAAAAGCCUUUCUACUUACUACCAGCAAUGCAAAAAACAACUAGAUGUCAUCAGAAGUCAACAGCAAAAGCGGCAAGGAACUUCAUGAUUCUCUGGGACCGUUACAUUUUAGAAAACGUGAAGACUUUUUUUUUUUUUUUUAAGAAAAGAAAAACCUUUAUGACAGCUCCUGAGUGUUAGCUUUUUGGCGUGUUCUGAAUGCCAGCUGCCUGUUUUUGCUGCAUUUGUUCCGUCAUUUAUUUUCUUCUCAUGGUGAACCUGUCUUGUUGCAUAUGAUGGGAUCUGUGACUUAGAUGAGCAGCACUUCUCAACUCCAGACAGAUACGGUGGACUGUGGCUGUAAAUGCAUGCUGUUGUGUGAAGGCUAGCCUAACAGAACGCAGGGUAUCACACUAGCUGCUGUGUGCAAACAUCAUCUGUUUUCCCAUGUUAGAAGGGGAACCUCAAGAACGAUUUUGUUCUUGUAUCUCAUCUCAAAAAAAACUAAUUUUUUUUUCCCCAAAAAAUCAUAUACACCAAGUUAAAGACAGGGUAUUAUAAAUCUAGACUAGUUGGUGGUGUGUUACAGACACAGAAUCUUUAAGUUUGGUUCAACCUUGGAUCAGUACUGAACUUAGUUCCAUCUGUAACAAUAUUUAAAGGUAAGUGGUAGCUGCUGUAUUUGAUGAGCAAUUUUACCACUUUUCAUUAGACUGAAAAUUGUUUGUUGAGCAAAUGGAGUUCUCUUUGUGUCACUCUCUCUCCUCUCUCUCUCUCUUUUUAAUUUUGGUGGUACUGGGAGAUUGAGCCCAGGGCCUUUGCAAUGAGCUACAUCUCCAGCUUUGUUUUUGUUGUUGUUGUUUUAGUUUUCUUCUUUUUUGUUGUUAUUUUGUUGUUGUUGUUGUUGUUGAUGAUGAUAUUUUGGUGAUAAUGUCUGGCUAAGUUUCCUAGGCUCGGCCAAAUGGCAAUUCUCCUUUCUUCAGCCUCCCUGACUGCUUUGAUUAUAGGCGUGUCCUACCACACACAGUUUGGAGCUUUUGUUUUCUUUGUAAGGCAUAAAUAUUUUUAAUUUUGUAUGUGUAUUAAAACUUUAAAGCUUUUAUGACUCUAAUAUUAGUAUCUCUUAAAUUAAAAGGCAGAAAAGCAUGACCUAGCUUAAAUGAUCAUUCCUUCCUGUAAUGAUUGUUGGAUUGUUUGACUAUAUAUUUAAAAAUACUAAAGAGAAAUAAGGCAAAAUGGAAGUAUUCCAGCUAAAAGGCUUGCUAUCAAAUGAAGAACAAGCCAGGAGAAAUUAGUAGAGAAGCUAAAGGAAUAAAAAUAAAUAUCCUAUUUGCCCUUGAUAUUGGAAUAAUUGAUUCCCUUGCAAGCCCAUUCUGAAAUGCCUGCUGCCUUUCAACACUUUUAAGAGAAUCUCAAUCCUUAUAAAGAGAAUAUUUAUAUUGUUAAUGAUAACUUUGCUAUCAAACUGCAAAAUAACUUAAUGUCAUGAAAAUAAUAAACUACACAAUCUAUUUUUUCACUUGGUAUUAAAAUAAGUCACAUUUUGAUACCAGUAAAGGGGUGUAUUUUAAAUAAGGAUGUCAUUGGUCUCAUUUUUAUAGCAUUAAUGUUUUAUGAAGAGAAAAUAAAAAAUGAAAAUACAGUUGCUCUGAUUAGAAUACUAUCAUGAUUGUAUUGCAGUUUUUGCUCUGUUUCAGAUAAGGAAGUUGGUCUAAGAAGUUACCAAACUAUGCUUAAAAAUGCUAAAAGCAGAUUAAAUGAUGCUCUUCGUUCAUCAGUUUUAAUGUAGGUAAAGCAUAAAACAUACAAAUAAUUCUUCUCAUAGGAAAUGUGGUUUGUUACUGUUUUUCCGAGUUACAUUUCUUUACCAGCUACUUCCCAACCUAUAGAUAUGCACAGAUUUUUAUAAACCCAAUCUUCACUUCUGUAAAUUUAUACAUUAAUUUGCUCAUUUUUAAAGUAUUUAUUGAUCACCUAUUAUAAGCUGAGCUACUGCUGCUAAUGCCAAGUUGCAUGUCCAUAUCGCAGCAGUCAGAGUUCACAAUAUUGAGACUUGUGCCUGGGUCUGCUUUUCCAUCAUCGCCAUCUCUUUUAGGCAGAGCUUCAUAGAUGGGGCCUCUCAGCCCAUGAUGUGAAGAAGAGCGCUGGACACGUUUUAAAUCAAUGACAGACAAAAGAAGAGGAACCUGAAGUAAUUGCUAGCCCCAGCAAAAGAAGCUUUGUGAGCACCCUACUGGAUAACCUCACGCCAGCGCUGAGACUUUUCAACACAAGCCUAUCGCUAGACUUUGUCAUACCAUAAUUUAAAAUUCUCAUCAGUUUCUGAGGUGCUUCCAUUUUCACACUCACUUAUUUGGCCAAUGGGGUGUCUUCAUUUCUUUUAUUUCUUGAAAACCAUGUACCAAAACAAUGGAAAUACAAAAACAGUAUUGUGGGAUUUGGUCUGGAAAAUAAAAAUUGUCCAGUCUACAGGAA